rnacentral:lncRNA from 1 species
GUAGGAAUCAAAGGUGAUAUGACAAUGACAAGAACAGCUCCAGUCUGCCUGCAUAUAAGCUGUAAAAUGUGGCAGCAUAAACAUCUGUGAACUACUUCCAGCUUCUAGGAUCAACAGGUCUGCUCAAACAGAUGUUCAGAUAGCAUCGUGCCCAGAGGAAGACAGGCCAAAGACUAUUCACAAAGCAACUGGUUGCCUGCAAUGCAGAAAAUAAACCAUCGAAGCUGUCCUAAGAUACGAAG